rnacentral:rRNA from 1 species
UUGGAGAAGUAAUUUUUUAUUAAGUAAUAUUUUUUGAAAGAUACUUUUUAGUAAUAGUUUAUUAGUACUGUAAAGGAAUAUUUUAAAUAAAUUGAAAAAUUUUAUUUUUAUAAGUAUAUUUUAUUUAUAUUACCUUUUGUAUCAGGGUUGAUCUAAUUUUUAUAAUAUAUUUUGCCUCCUCGAUUUUAUAAGAGCUAAUAAUUUAUUUUAUUUUAUGUGUUAAAAUAAUUAAUAAUAUUUAUUAGGGGGGAAAUCUCAUUCGUUUAUAAGGGUAUCUAGUUUUUUAAGAAUUAAAUUUAAUUUAAUCCUGAAACUUACUUUUUUCUUUUUUAUUUAUUUAUUUUUUAGGUUAUAACUAGUGGGGGAUAAGCUCUGCUUUUUACUAUAAAAUUUUAUUUUGAUAAUUUUAGUAGGCCUAAAAUCAACCAUCUUUAAAUUACGUUAUAGUUUAUUUUAUUUUUAUUUGAUUUUCUUCUUUUUAGUUUUUUAUUAAAAUAAUUUAUUUAACUUUAUUAUAAUUGUAAUAAUGAUUAAAUUAGUAUAAAUUUUUGUUUGCUAUUUAUUUUUCUUUAAUUAUAAUUAAGGAACUCGGCAAAUCUAAUUUUCGCCUGUUUAUCAAAAACAUGUCCUCAUGUUUUUAUUUGAGGUUUGGCCUGCCCGGUGAUUUUAAUUUAACGGCCGCGGUAUAUUGACCGUGCAAAGGUAGCAUAAUCAUUAGUCUUUUAAUAGGAGGCUGGAAUGAAAGGUUUAACGAAAAAUUAGCUGUCUCAAUUAUAAAUUUGAAUUUAACUUUUAAGUUAAAAGGCUUAAAUUUUUUUGUAGGACGAGAAGACCCUAUAGAGCUUUACAUUUAAUAUUUUGUUAUAUUGAUUUAGAUUAAUAUUUUUAAUUAACUUUAAAAAAUGUUUUGUUGGGGUGACAAGAAAUAUAUAUUUAACUUUUAUUAUUAUAUUUUCAUUAAUUUAUGAUUAUUGGAUCCAAAAUUUUUGAUCAUUAGAAUAAGUUACCUUAGGGAUAACAGCGUAAUCUUCCCUCAGAGUUCAAAUUUACGGGAAGGGUUGCGACCUCGAUGUUGGAUUAAGAUAACAGUUGGGUGCAGUAGCUCAAUUUGUAGGUCUGUUCGACCUUUAAAUUCUUACAUGAUCUGAGUUCAGACCGGUUUAAGCCAGGUCGGUUUCUAUCCUCAAAUUUAUUUUAGUUUUUAGUACGAAAGGACCAUUACUAUGAAAUAAUUUUUAUUAUUUGAUUUUCAUUAACUAUUUUGGCAGAAAAGUGCGAUGAAUUUAGAAUUCAUU